AAUAGUGACAAAGAUGAAACAUUCCUGUGUAUAGCUGGGGAACAUGUUCUAGUUCUCAACGCAAGUGCUGUAGAAGGACAUUAAAUAUUUUUA